rnacentral:lncRNA from 1 species
AAGAUAUGAUUCUAAAGUCUUUGGCCAAAGCAAAUGAAUAUGACUUAGGAAGUUUGUUCCAAAUCAUAUUCAAAGGAAUCAUACAGAGAAGUAUCGCAUUGGAUAGUAGACAUGAAACAAACUAUCAUUCAAACAAUGUGAUUAAGAGUAUUGUAUUAGAGAAUGACCGUAUUGCAUUGUAGUUGUAACUGGAUAGGUUCUCCAACCAAUUCUACUUAGCUUGGGUAACCAUGACAUACUGCUAGGUGUCAUUCAUGGUUUGUGGAAGCCCUAAUGAUUAGGCAACACUAAUCAUAAAAGGGAGAAUUGAAAUGUGGUUUCAAUUCACAAUCGAUCGUUAAGAGUAACAAUCACCCACUACCUCGCUAAUUGGAACCUAAUGGAUCGUACACCGAGUAAGGGUGAUAGUGAAGAAAUUAAAUGAAAUAGAUAUGCAAUUAAAUGGUUUAAUUGAAGAAUGGUCAAGAUUAAUUAAUUAGUUAAUUAAUUUUACGAAAGGUUCGUAUUGGGCUUAUAUGUUGGUUUUGGGUUUCGGGGCCCAAAAGCGUUUUGGUCCAAAAGGCCCAUUAUGUUUAAGUUGUAUGACAACUAAAACAAAAUGGGCAAAUAGCCCAAUAACAUUAAUAUGGCCGGCCAUUAAGGUGAAUGGGCAAGCUUGGAUUAAUUACAAGUUUGCCACUCACUUGAAAUGAAGUAUAAAAGGAACUUUAUAGCUUUAUUUCUCAUUAGGGUUUUUCUUGGUGAAAUGAGGUGAAACACUUUCUCUCUAUUUCUCUAAAGAGGCCGGCCACUUAGGGAGAUUAAUCUAGCAAUCUCUUCUUCCCUAAGUCAUCCAUUUCAUCUUCACACUUAACCCUUGGUGUGGAGACUUAGAGACACCAAAUCUUUGGUGUUUUUGGAGAUCAUUUCCUUACAUUCUCAAAGUCCAAAGGAGCACAAAAGGAGAAGGAAAUCACAAGCAAUAUCCAAGGAGCUAGGAGGUGACUUGAAGGCCCUCCACUUGAGUGAAUCCCUUGUGUAAACAAGGAUGAGCUUCAAGGGUAAAGAAACUCUAAAUCUUUACUACUCUUUAAUGUUGUUAAAGAGUUUAUUGGUUCACCAUAUACUAGGCUUUGAAAGUCAUGGGUUUUAUGAUGAUCACGUCGAAUCCUUAUGAAAAUGAAUCCAGAACAAAAUCGCGCUAA